GAUGAAGAACGUAGCGAAAUGCGAUAAGUAAUGUGAAUAGCAGAAUUCAGUGAAUCAUCGAAUCUUUGAACGCACCUUGCGCUCCUUGGUAUUCCGAGGAGCAUGCCUGUUUGAGUGUCAUGAAAUUCUCAACCUUUUCAGCUUUCUUUGUUGAUCAGGCUUGGAUGUGGGAGUAUGCGGGCUUCUCAGAAGUCGGCUCUCCUGAAAUGCAUUAGCGGGACCUUUGUUGCCUGGCUUUGGUGUGAUAAUUAUCUACGCCAUUGUAGUCAAGCAGCUUAAAAUGAGGUUUCAGCUUCUAACCGUCUCCCCUGAGACAACUUUUUGACAAUUUGACCUCAAAUCAGGUAGGACUACCCGCUGAACUUAAGCAUAUCAAUAAGCGGAGGA
rnacentral:misc_RNA from 1 species